rnacentral:tRNA from 1 species
GGGCCGGCCUGGUCGAACUGGCCGGCGUGGGAGUGCUGCUGCCGCUCUACGGGGCCGCGCUGCUCGCGACGGCGGCCGCCCUG